rnacentral:rRNA from 1 species
AGAGUUUGAUCCUGGCUCAGAACGAACGCUGGCGGCGUGCUUAACACAUGCAAGUCGAACGCGAAAGUUUUCUUCGGAAGACGAGUAGAGUGGCGCACGGGUGAGUAACGCGUAAGUUAUCUACCUCGGCAUCUGGAAUAACUCACCGAAAGGUGUGCUAAUACCGGAUACGUUGAGUAAUCAAGAAAGGUGGCCUCUGAAUAUGCUACUGUAUCAGGAUGGGUCCGCGUAUCAUUAGCUAGUUGGUAGUGUAAUGGACUACCAAGGCUACGAUGGUUAGCUGGUCUGAGAGGAUGAUCAGCCACACUGGAACUGAGACACGGUCCAGACUCCUACGGGAGGCAGCAGUGGGGAAUUUUGCGCAAUGGGGGAAACCCUGACGCAGCAACGCCGCGUGAGUGAUGAAGGCCUUC